UACGUAGGGUGCAAGCGUUUGUCUGGAAUUAUUGGGCGUAAAGAGCUCGUAGGCGGUUUGUUGCGUCGGCUGUGAAAUCCCGAGGCUCAACCUCGGGUCUGCAGUCGAUACGAGCAAACUAGAGUGUUGCAGGGGAGACUGGAAUUCCUGGUGUAGCGGUGAAAUUCGUAGAUAUCAGGAGGAACACCGAUGGCGAAGGCAGGUCUCUGGGCCACUACUGACGCUGAGAAGCGAAAGCAUGGGGAGCGAACAGG
rnacentral:rRNA from 1 species